GACGAACCGUCCAAACGUUAUUCGGAAUCACUGGGCUUACAGAGUUCGUAGGCGGUCUGGAAAGUUGGGUGUGAAAUCCCUCGGCCUAACCGAGGAACUGCGCUUGAAACUACCAGACUCGAGGGGGAUAGAGGAAAGCGGAACUGAUGGUGGAGCGGUGAAAUGCGUUGAUAUCAUCAGGAACACCGGUGGCGAAGGCGGCUUUCUGGGUCUUACCUGACGCUGAGGAACGAAAGCCAGGGGAGCGAAGCGGG
rnacentral:rRNA from 1 species